ACAACAACAUUCGGACCGUCGGUCUACCGAGCAAUAUCACCCGCUCGGUGGAAGAUCUUUCCGUCGUAUUUUUUU
rnacentral:pre_miRNA from 1 species